AACCGGUUGAACAACUGAACCC
rnacentral:miRNA from 1 species